AUUGAACGCUGGCGGCAUGCCUUACACAUGCAAGUCGAACGGCAGCACGGGAGCAAUCCUGGUGGCGAGUGGCGAACGGGUGAGUAAUAUAUCGGAACGUGCCAGUCGUGGGGAUAACGUAGCGAAAGCUACGCUAAUACCGCAUACGAUCUAUGGAUGAAAGCGGGGGAUCGCAAGACCUCGCGCGAUUGGAGCGGCCGAUAUCAGAUUAGGUAGUUGGUGAGGUAAAGGCUCACCAAGCCGACGAUCUGUAGCUGGUCUGAGAGGACGACCAGCACACUGGGACUGAGACACGGCCCAGACUCCUACGGGAGGCAGCAGUGGGGAAUUUUGGACAAUGGGCGCAGCCUGAUCCAGCAAUGCCGCGUGCAGGAUGAAGGCC
rnacentral:rRNA from 1 species